AUAUGGUCCAAAGAAAGAAAUCUUUGUUCUGUGUUUAUCGAUCGCGGAUUUCUUGCUCCCCUAAAUCUCUUCCACGAUUCUGCAUUGAAAGAAGAUCGGCUCCAUCACGAUUCCACUAUCAUAAGAAACUAUUUCAUCCAUUAAACAAAUAAUCAACAAAGAUUUAGAGGUUUGUUCAGAUUUAUCAGCAGGAAUUUUCAGAGAUUGGUCGACCAGAUAUCGAGCUUCAAUUCGUUAAUCUGCAGUGGAAUUGAAGGAUAUUGGCUUUAACAAGCGAAAACGGCAAUUAUCAGCAAGUCAAUUAGAAGGGAAAAUGGCUUUAAGAACAUUACAGAUAGUAGCUUCCCAGCUAUCUUUUUGUCUCCCCUGUGUCUAUGUGAUCUUUGCAGGCAAUAUAUGAUAGUAACCGGAGUGGACUCAUCCGGAUGGAGUAUUCAAAUGGACGGCCCAAAUUUACGAUGGAAACACGGCCAAAUUUAUUAAACGCAAGAGUUGGAACCAGGGGAAAAUUAAACGCAAGAGUUUUACCUAUAUAUCAGCUCCCGUUUCACAUGAAUAAACGAAAAUAAUUUUUAUUUUACUUUUUGGCUUCUUUUGAUUGUCCAGGAGGAAAGGUUUGAUCAAAAAGACGAUGCAGAGGAAAUUUAGGGGGCAAAAGUUUAUAACAUUGAUUUAGGAGGCAAACUCUAAUUUCAAAGACGCUGCAGAGGAAGGGAAGAACAAGAUGCACGCAUGGUCAUGGAAGACACAAACAUCUUCCAUCAAACAUAAGUUUGAUACUUUGAUGCUGCAAGAUUGCUGAAAGAUUAUCAAAGACUCAAAUAUCUCCAUAGAACAUAGAUGCAAUCUUUAUAUGGAAGUCCCUAUUUUAACACGGAAAGAUCAUAUUAGCUUGGCUUCUUAAACACGGGAAUCAGGUGGAAGCAUUCUCAACCGACAUAACUUCUCGAUAAGUUACUUUAAAUUCCUUGGAUAGUUUGUUCUGAGGCUGUGGUACUCUUCUUAUGCACUUCUGCUUUCUGAAUGGACUAGAUAUAGAACGAUGGCCACUGAAUUGUUGUAUUUGUAAUUGAUAACUUUAAUAGUUUCAUAUUAAUUGAUGCAUGGUACUUAAAAUUAAACUUUGAUUUCAAUAGUAUGUUCUCCCUUAUUAGUUUUCUGUUGUUAUUGCUGAUAUUGUACUUCUAAUAAUCUUGAUGAUGGUUAGUUGUUUAUCUUUGUUUUCCUUAAAGGAUUUAGGAUUAUUAUGGAAGCUCGAUGCAAAGUUUUUAUGACUUGCAUGGGUUUGCAUGGGUUUGAUGGAGAACACAGUCUUAGACUGGCUAACCUGCUGGAAUGUUCUACAGUACCGGGUCUCAAGGUGGUGGUCAGGAAAGAAUUGCAGUUUUCAGUUGUUGCAGCACAUCAGAGCUUGGAUGAGUAUUAUAUAGAUUGUUUGGGGCUGUAUUAUGCAACGACCUAGUGGGGCUAUGGAUGGUUAUUAUGCAGGUCAAAAUCUUCAUCGCAGUUGUAGAACAAUUGCAAAAGACCUCACUGCUGGGAAAUGCAGAAGUUCUGCUGAAAUAUGGAUUUGAUGUUUAAUCACAGAGGUCUGUCUCGAGUACAUGAAUUCUGAUUUUGAAACGCCUGUGAUGGUUCCAAAUUAUCUUUUGGUAUAAAGGUAUUCACUUUUAAUCUUCUUCCAAUUUAUUCCUAUUUGUAUUUUUUUUUCGUGCUAUUUGAUUCUAGGUUUAUUUCAUGAAACCUCAAUAUUGGCUUUGUGUUCCUGCAUAUUUUUGAUUGGCUUCGAUCCACACAUGCAGAGUGUAUAUUCUUUGUCUUUCCUUGGUAAUACAUAUUAGGAAAUCUAUCUUGAAUUUUUCCCAAAGUCAAAUCUUAAAUUUUGCCAAAUCUCUAACUUAGAAUUACUUCACCAGGAGUCAUGCCUCGACCUGUUUCAAUGUCUAGGCAGGUCUAUUGGUUGCUAAUUGUGUGCACUAGGUCAAAGCAAAACCGAAAAACAUAGACUAAGAAAACAUUGACGUUAUUCGGCUGUCGGCUGUGCAACCUGCAGUCUGAUGAUGGCUUGUGGGCCUUAGGCAUUUGAGUGUGCAGAAUCUGCCAUUUGUACGUGAAGUUGUUGAAAUUUAGGCGGUGCGGAUGGAUUAAAAUAGUUCUGAUGAUUGAUUAUGGGUGGAUGAUUACGGGACUAAUGCGACGGAGGUGGCAAGAGAAAGCAUAAGUAACUCUUAGAUACUUUGAAGAAUAAAUUUUCUCAUGUUUAGACCAAGCGGUUAUUAUGAUUUCUUGAUUUUGUUUUGUAGGAGCAUCAUUGUAUCAGUGUAUUAAUUAGUUUUAUGUUUACACUUGCGACCUUUACUUUCCUCGGGAUAGUGAUAGGCUGAUACAGGGUGAUGCCAGGUUUGCCGGAAAAUUAAUGUAAGCAAGUAAAAACAGUCAGUCAAAAUCAUGAGCUAAUGCUAGACUUAUGUCAAUUCAUAUGCCUUCAAGCCCAUUCCCGGUGGACUAAUAGAGUAUAAAAUUAUAAUCUGAUCACAAGUAAUGGUCUUUAGGACAUGUGGGUGUGCAUGAAUCUACCAUUUGUUAAUGAAAUUGUUGAAAUCUAGGCGCCAUGGAUAGAUUCAGAUCUUCCAAACAAUUGUGAAAGAGAACGAGCUCUUUGCGUAUUCUCCGGAGAGAACUACUUCUCGGGAUACUUACUAGAUCAAGUUCCUUGAAGUUGCUAGGCCAGCAAAUUUGAAGUGAUGGAGAAAGAUCACAAUGCCUUCUAUUAGUAAUGUGUUAAUCAGUAUUGUUUACGGGUUGAAAAAUUUACUUCCUAUUGAUUGUGAUUGUGUGAUAUGGGGUGAUGCCAAGUUUGCCAGCGGAAGAGAUGACAAACAUUUUGAGAAGGAGGGGCCUAUACUCUGUGCUGCAUCGGAUAACUGAAGCAACUACGGUUCCCUAAAUAUGAAGUAAGGCUCAGGUGAGUGUUCAUAGUUUUGGAUAUAUGUUGAUUUGAGCUUGGAAUAACCUUUCGUGGGUUUACUAUCAGUUACCGGCCACAAAAAAAUCGGUGAGCAAUUUACCACAAUAAUUCUUUCUGAGAUAUUAUAGAUACUUGAAUAUAGGUAGAGUAAUAGAGUGCUUAUCCCUUCUAGAAUGUCAACUCUGCGACUUUCAUAUAAUUCAAACUUUAAGGACGAUACACUUUUACAUUUUUGUAUCUUAGUUUCUAGAAUGUCACCAACCAGAAGUUUCUAAACCAUAUAGGAAAGGCUAGGACCAUGAUUGGCGAACCAUGUCACUUGCUCCCUAGGAUGUGAAUGAAGUCCAAGUUGAUAAAGCAUAGGCAUCACUUUGUAGGGGUCUUCUUUGAUGACCUUGAAAGUGGAUCAAGCGCAGUCGCAGCAACACCCACUUCAGGUGGAGAACACAAUUCGUCAAUUUGUUGAUUAGUAUUUCAAUUAUACAGAAUAAUACAUAUAAAUGGGUUGAAAUACUGCUUUUACUGUUUGGAGUAAACCGAUUGCAUUCUGGAAAAGAGUGUGGUGCAAGUCAAAGCAGGAGUUUGGUGACAAACGAGACGAGACACCAGAGUUACGACUAAACCAGUGGAGUUCUGGACCUCCGGUAUGGAAUGAUGGCUCCUUUGUUGGUUCCACAAGAUGCUUCAGAUAAACUCCUUUGCCGAUCUCUGCGUACUUGAAUUGCCUACAGAUUGUCUGUUUAAGUUGUUUGAAGAAGCCAGAAAUGCAGAACUUUUAAGAGUUUCAGAAACCCUUAAAAUUUGACGCGCCAUUGUCAAGAAACACCAAUGUAGAACAAGCCUUCAAGUAUGGGUAGUUUUCUAAAUUUUGAUUUAUGUUGUAGCUUUCCUUUGUAUUGGGCCUAUUGGAAUGUUGAUCAGUUUAAGUUUCAAGAAUUUGUAUUCAAGAUUUUGAAAUAGUGCAGAUACAGUAGUGAGAUCCAAAUUUUACACAAAAUGUUUGAACGAUAGACAUUAGACAAAAAUAAAAA